UACGUAGGGGGCGAGCGUUACCCGGAAUUAUUGGGCGUAAAGCGCGUGCAGGCGGCCGAUUAAGUCAGGUGUGAAAGGCUGCGGCUCAACCGCAGAGCGGCACCUGAAGCUGGUCGGCUUGAGUGCAGGAGAGGGGAGUGGAAUUCCCGGUGUAGCGGUGGAAUGCGUAGAGAUCGGGAGGAACACCCGUGGCGAAGGCGGCUCUCUGGCCUGUAACUGACGCUGAGGCGCGAAAGCGUGGGGAGCAAACAGG
rnacentral:rRNA from 1 species